UUUAGAGAAGCAAGCUGUGACUCAGUGUAGGUAAGUGAUCCAUACAGUUAGAGUCGGUAAAUGGUCGAGCUGGUAAGAGCUGUAACCAUUACGAAUGUCAGCUCAGAUAAGCCAAUAGACUAGCUUGAAAUCAUAGGAAAGGCUCCACAGAGGCAAACGAUGGCUGCUGUCUAGUGCAUUCCAUCUCAGAAGGCAGGACCUUGGCCACCAGGUUGGUGAAUGCAGUCUGGACUGGUCGUUUGAACUGAGAACUGGUGCACUGUGGAGAGGUUGGUCAGUCAGGAGGAAAAAGUGGUCUGGAAAGGGAGUAAAGAUGGGGCAAGCAUGGAUGAAACCAGGUAAAAAGAGAAGAAGGAUGAAGAAAGCUGCUGCUGGCUUCUACAUCAAAGCUGCAGAUCCCUGAGGCCAAGGCUGAUGAAAGAUGUGGGUAGCCGAUUCUGUCCUGUGACCUGGAGGCUCUGAAUUUGUGAUUGAAGAGAUCCUGCACAGUCCUCUCCCCUGUCAUAUCAGGCAUCUGCAAGGCAUUCUAAGGACCUCUAGGAGCACACAGUUCAAUCCAGCAACCUCUACUAAGGGUCACAAAUGCCUAUGUCCAAGUCUAUGCUGGCCCUGUCAAAGUCCCGUCUCUGCUCUGCCCCCAGGGUCUUACGGGCUACAAAUGGGACAACUUUUUAAAUACUCACACAUGUUGUGAUCAUUUGUAAGUCCAAGUCACAAAAACAGCAGAAGUAGAAAGUUUUACCUUAGAGUGAAAAUCAAGGGUGGUGUUGCUACCAGAUGGUGCCACUCAGUUGCAGGUUCUUGGUGUCCCGAACAAAGAGUUGGACAAGACACAUACAUAGCAAAGCAAAGCGAUGAAAGUGUAUGAAGCUCAGUAUUACACUCUCGGAGCAGGAGAGCGAACUGACCUCUGUGAGAUGAGAUCACCAUCAGUUUGGUGUAGUUUGGGUCUUUUUAUGUGUUUUUUUUUCUUCUCUUCCCAAGGCUGCCUAAUCUCUCGCCAGUGUCUACCCUUUAGAUUGAUAGGUGUGUUGCUUAGUUACUUUGGCCCCUGUGCGCUUGUGCAUCAUCUCUAUCCCAUAAUUUUAAGUACAUGCAUGAUAUGCAGCCCGUAGGCAUGAACCUUAAGUAGCUGAUUAUCAUACAAGGUUAUGUUAAGGAUACUUUUUCUCUCUAAUGUGCAUGCCCAUCUCUGAAGCGCUGCCUCUUACUGGUUUGGUCCCAGUCUUGCUGGUCAUGGGGUCCUUGCUCACCUUUUUAUCUCACUUUUUUUUGGCUGCUGAAUAUCUGCUUUUUAUCUCCCUUCCUGUUCACCCAUCCCUUCACCUUGCUUCUGUUCUCUGCUUUUACUUAUUCUGUGCUGUAUCCAACUUUUAAUUCCCUUUGCUAUUCUCCGGCCUCAUUUUCUCUAUUUUUCUCCUGCCUCAGUGUUACGGUGGAGUUGGUCAUUGAGAUAGAUUUUGAUGCAUGAAUCAGAGUUCUCAGGGAAGACAAGGUGGGAAAGGCUUUUGUUUCGGAGAGACUAGGCUAUAGAAAAGCACAAAGGCACGAGAUAUCCCUUUAUUUGUACCAUCAUUUGUCCUUUGUUCUUUUGUUCAACAAUUUAGGACUUACUAGAUUGGCUGGAGCUUGGUACACCCAAACUCAAUUUUAGAUGAACAGACACCCUUUUAGGGGCUAGUGAUACAAGGAUGAAUAUGACAAGGAGUCUGCCAAGUAUUUUUUUUUUCCAGUAGGGGCUACAGACCCGUAAUAAAUAUAAAAGUAAAUGUAUAACAUACAAGCGCUGCAAAGAAAAAUAAAUCAUAAUAAGAGUGAGAUUGAAUAUUAGGAAAAGAAGACCUGAAUACAGUGAUCUUUAAUCUCUCUAAGGAAGAGACUCUUCUGAAGACGCAUGAAUUUGAACAGUCACAAUGGUGCGUGUUCCAGGGAUCUUAAGUACUUGGUACUUAUUGAAGCAUAAAGUGGCAGGAAGAGAAUAAAGCAUGAUGUCCCUGGGGAUGUGUAGAGCUGUAUAAUGAGGAAUAUCUGAGGUGCAUACUAAGCAACAUUAAUGUAAAUACGUAGGCAAGAUCGGCACAGACAUUAAGAAACUGUAGUUUGGUAGCAGAGUGGGCUGGAGAGGUGGCAAGUGUUUUAGAAAUAUGACUCAGGUACUAAUGUGGACACUGCUUUAGCGUGAGGAGACUCUGGAUCCACAGAUAUUGGGUUACAAGAUGUUGUCAACCCAGUUAUCAGUGUCAGCAGCAACAGCAUUUAUUGAGCUCCUCCUGUGUACAAGGAACUGUUCUGGGCACAUCAGUAGUGUUAACUUUUUAAAUUCCUCAAUAGUACUGUGAGCCAGAAAGUUUAAGUAGCUUGCCCAGGGUGUUCUAUCCACCCGGCAGAGCAGGAACACCACCCAAGCAGUCUGGUGAGGUCAGACACAGAGCCGUAACCACUGUGCUAUACAGACUUCCAGCCAUCAUGAGAGACCAUGGGUGCUGGACAUGAGGGUAGUUUCUGGGGGGCCUGAAGGCAGGGAAUGCUUUAAGGUGUAGUAGUUGGCAAGACUUCCUUAAUUAAUUGGGAUGUGAUCAUGAAAGACAGGAAAGAGUAGAAAAUGCUCCGAGGGGAUGGAUCUUGCUUGGAAAGCAAUGUGUACUAUGCUGCCACCGACGGAGAUGUGCACUGGUUAGUGAGUUUCAGCCAGAGGACCCAGUGGGUUACGCAGGAAGCAGCUGGAACUUUCCCACAGAUGGGUGAUUUGAUUAGUCACCAAACACAACCAACUGUUACUUGAUUUGGGAGCAGAUUUCUACAUAAUAUGACAGAACAAACCAUGUCUCUCUACUGCUGAGAAAUUUUUGAUAGCUCCUUAGCAAAUUCCAAAUUUAGUACAAGUUCCUUUAUCUGGGAUUACGGAAACAAACAAACAAAAAAUCCUCUAUAGUAUAGUUCCAAUAACCCUCUUCAUCCUAAUCUCUCU
rnacentral:lncRNA from 1 species